AAGUCGUAACAAGGUAACCGUAGGUGAACCUGCGGUUGGAUCAUUACUGAUACUUGGUCUAUGAGUUGAUACCGAAAGGAGUCCUCAUAGCCAAAUUCACCUCUUGUGCACUAUAUUGUCUUUUGGUAGUUUAUACCUUGGUAUAGGCUGCCAAACUUUAUAACAAACCAUAUAAACUUGUCUGAAAUUAUAAUAAAAUAUAAACAACUUUUGACAACGGAUCUCUUGGCUCUCGCAUCGAUGAAGGC
rnacentral:misc_RNA from 1 species